rnacentral:rRNA from 1 species
GACGAACGCUGGCGGCGUGCUUAACACAUGCAAGUCGAACGGAAAGGACCUGCUUUUGUGGGGUGCUCGAGUGGCGAACGGGUGAGUAACACGUGAGUAACCUGCCCUGGACUAUGGGAUAACGUCAGGAAACUGGGGCUAAUACCGGAUAGGAGCUCCUGCUGCAUGGUGGGGGUUGGAAAGGUUCGGCGGUGGGGGAUGGACUCGCGGCUUAUCAGCUUGUUGGUGGGGUAGUGGCUUACCAAGGCUUUGACGGGUAGACGGCCUUAGAGGGUGACCGGCCCCCUUGGGACUGAGAUACGGCCCAGACUCCUACGGGAGGCAGCAGUGGGGAAUAUUGCACAAUGGGCGGAAGCCUGAUGCAGCAACGCCGCGUGCGGGAUGACGGCCUUCGGGUUGUAAACCGCUUUCGCCUGUGACGAAGCGUGAGUGACGGUAAUGGGUAAAGAAGCACCGGCUAACUACGUG